CCUACGGGAGACAGCAGUGAGGAAUAUUGGUCAAUGGACGAGAGUCUGAACCAGCCAAGUAGCGUGAAGGAUGACUGCCCUAUGGGUUGUAAACUUCUUUUAUAAAGGAAUAAAACGAGGCACGUGUGCCUUUUUGCAUAUACUUUAUGAAUAAGGAUCGGCUAACUCCGUGCCAGCAGCCGCGGUAAUACGGAGGAUCCGAGCGUUAUCCGGAUGUAUUGGGUUUAAGGGGAGCGUAGAUGGGUUGUUAAGACAGUUGUGAAAGUUUGCGGCUCAACCGUAAAAUUGCAAUUGAUACUGGCAGUCUUGAGUACAGUUGAGGUAGGCGGAAUUCGUGGUGUAGCGGUGAAAUGCUUAGAUAUCACGAAGAACCCCGAUUGCGAAGGCAGCUUACUAAACUGUGACUGACAUUGAUGCUCGAAAGUGUGGGUAUCAAACAGGAUUAGAUACCCGGGUAGUC
rnacentral:rRNA from 1 species